GACGAACGCUGGCGGCGUGCUUAACACAUGCAAGUCGAACGGAAAGGCCCUGCGUUUGUGGGGUGCUCGAGUGGCGAACGGGGGAGUAACACGUGAGUAACAUGCACUUGACUUUGGGAUAACUUCAGGAAAAUGGGGCUAAUACAGGAUAGGAUCUCCUGCAGCAUGGGGGGGGUUGGAAAGUGACGGCGGUGGUGGAUCGACUAGCGGCUUAUCAGCUGGAUGGUGGGGUAGUGGCGUACCACGGCUUUGACGGGUAGCCGGCCUGGGAGCGUGACCGGCCUCAUUGGGCCUGAGAUACGGCCCAGACUCCAACGGGAGGCAGCAGUGGGGAAUAUUGCACAAUGGGCGGACGCCUGAUGCAGCAACGCCGCGUGCGGGAUGACGGCCUUCGGGUUGUAAACCGCUUUCGCCUGUGACGAAGCGUGCGUGACGGUACUGAGUCAAGAAGCCCCGGCUAACUACGUG
rnacentral:rRNA from 1 species